rnacentral:rRNA from 1 species
UUCCUUUAGUAUAUAUUUAAAGGUAUUGCCUGCCCUAUGUUAAAAUAAAUGGCUGCGGUAUCUUAACUGCACUAAGGUAGCAUAAUUAAUUGUCUUUUAAAUGGUGACCUGUUUGAACGGCUUAAUGAGAAAAAAAUUUUCUUUUAAUUAUAAUAAAAUUAUAUUUCAAGGUUAAAAUACCUGACUAUAAAAAAAAGACGAGAAGACCCUGUUGAGUUUUACAUUAAUAAUAAUGUUAAAAUGGGAAAUUUAACCUUUUUCUAAGGUUUAGUAGAUCCUGGAAUAAAUAGAUUCUGGAUAUAGGAUAAAGUUACCACAGGGAUAACAGGACAAUAUUUGCUAAGAGUUCUAAUUGAAGUAAAUGGUUGUUACCUCGAUGUUGAAUCGAAAUAUCUUUUUGAUGCAGCAGUCAAAAAAGUGGGUCUGUUCGACCUUUUAAAUUUC